UUUAAGGUCUAACCUGCCCAAUGAGGAUUUAAAUGGCCGCGGUAAUUUGACCGUGCAAAGGUAGCAUAAUCAUUAGUUUUUUAAUUGAAAGCUGGAAUGAAUGGUUGGACGAGAUAAUAGCUGUCUCAGUUUAAUUUUUAUUAGAAUUUUAUAUUUAAGUAAGAAAGCUUAAAUAAUUUUAAAAGACGAGAAGACCCUAUAGAGUUUUAUAUAUAAGUAUGUAAGAGUUAAUUAGAAUUAUAUUAUUUUUAUAUAGUUAUGUAUUUUAUUGGGGUGAUGGAAAAAUUGGUGUAACUUUUUUUAUAUGAAAACAUAAAUGUAUGGUUUAAUGAUCCAUUAUUGUAUGAUUAUAAGAUUAAAUUACCUUAGGGAUAACAGCGUAAUUUUAUUUGAGAGUUCUUAUCGAAAAUAAAGUUUGCGACCUCGAUGUUGGAUUAAAAUUAACUUUUGGUGUAGGGGCUAAAAGGUUAGGUCUGUUCGACCUUUAAAAUUUUACAUGAUCUGAGUUUAGACCGGUGUGAGCCAGGUUGGUUUCUAUCUUUAAAAUAUAUUGAUAUCUUAGUACGAAAGGACUUGGUAUUUUUAAUAAUUAAUUUUUUAGAAUAGUAUUA
rnacentral:rRNA from 1 species